GACGAACGCUGGCGGCGUGCCUAAUACAUGCAAGUCGAGCGGACCGACGGGAGCUUGCUCCCUUAGGUCAGCGGCGGACGGGUGAGUAACACGUGGGUAACCUGCCUGUAAGACUGGGAUAACUCCGGGAAACCGGGGCUAAUACCGGAUGCUUGAUUGAACCGCAUGGUUCCAAUCAUAAAAGGUGGCUUUUAGCUACCACUUACAGAUGGACCCGCGGCGCAUUAGCUAGUUGGUGAGGUAACGGCUCACCAAGGCGACGAUGCGUAGCCGACCUGAGAGGGUGAUCGGCCACACUGGGACUGAGACACGGCCCAGACUCCUACGGGAGGCAGCAGUAGGGAAUCUUCCGCAAUGGACGAAAGUCUGACGGAGCAACGCCGCGUGAGUGAUGAAGGUUUUCGGAUCGUAAAACUCUGUUGUUAGGGAAGAACAAGUACCGUUCGAAUAGGGCGGCACCUUGACGGUACCUAACCAGAAAGCCACGGCUAACUACGUGCCAGCAGCCGCGGUAAUACGUAGGUGGCAAGCGUUGUCCGGAAUUAUUGGGCGUAAAGCGCGCGCAGGCGGUUUCUUAAGUCUGAUGUGAAAGCCCCCGGCUCAACCGGGGAGGGUCAUUGGAAACUGGGGAACUUGAGUGCAGAAGAGGAGAGUGGAAUUCCACGUGUAGCGGUGAAAUGCGCAGAGAUGUGGAGGAACACCAGUGGCGAAGGCGACUCUCUGGU
rnacentral:rRNA from 1 species